CCUGAGUGGCGUGACCUACCAAGUGCCAGCUGGGUGCGCGAGGGGACAGCUACUGGUAAACGGGUUUGGAACGUGUCCAUCUCGGUGCCUGGUAUGAUAGCCGGGGCUGAGACCGAAGGGGAUGACCUGGCGUGGGUCAGGAUGCCAACGUGGGUGCUUGGAGCCACCUGCCAUCUGGCCUUCUGCGGGCCCCAUGAGACCAGCGGGGGCCCUCGGACUUCCCUAGCCCCCAUGGACAGCCGGUCUGGAGAGAGCGCGUCAACACACAAGGCCUGCCACAGCCCUGCCAGGCGGGCUCCGGGAACACAAAGUCCCCUUGCACAAAUCUCUUUAAAAAGGAAAAGAAGAAGUGGGACCCGCUGGGGCUAACCCUGAGUCCCAGCCCUCCACUCUCCUGGCUGGGUCUUGCCUCUGGGAACAGUUUCUCCACCUGUAAAAUGAGGACAAAGUUCUGCACGCGGACAGCGCCUGGAAAACCCGCAGGUCCUCACCCGGAGAGGAGCUGGCAUUUGAGGAAACUGAGGCCUGUAAGACCGGAGGGGAGUCUGCUGGGGGCUGGAGGGGCAGCAGCUGGCCCGGGCCUCCC